ACUAAUGAGCUGCUAACUAAUGAGCUGCUAACGAGCUGUUGACUAAUGAGCUGCUGACUAACGAUCUGAACUUUCUGCACGCGGUCAGUCGGCCUGUUUGUGUUUCCUGUUUUAUUCAUGAGCUUCAUCUCAUCCGACACACAAUCACAUGAAUAACACAACAGCUACUGAAUUACACACACACACACCCCCUUCAGGUCAUGUCUGGAUGAAACCUGAGACCUUCAGUCUGAGCUGCUGCAUUUUGAAACAACUUUAUUUGUUUUUCCACUGAAACGUCUCUGAUAAACUGGACCACCAGAGACAGAAGAAUCAUGAACACCAUCCAGGUGUAGUUCAGUCUGUUAGAUCUUCAUCCUGGAAGAUCCUGACAUGGAUUCUAUCAGCAUCUCCAAUAACCAGCUGCUGGUUCAGGUUCUGGAUCGCUGAAGCUCCUCAUCCUCUGCUCAUGUUUAAUUCAGCACAGCUCAUGAAUGUUUGAGAAGCUUCAGCAGCUCCAUCUGCAUUAUUAAGAAGAUCUGAGAGACCAAAAGCUGGAGGUCUGACAUCACAACAAGACGUCUGACGUUACAACAAAAGGUCUGACAUCACAACAGGAGGUCUGACAUCACAACAAGAUGUCUGACAUCACAACAAGAGGUCUGACAUUACAACAAAAGGUCUGACAUCACAACAAGAGGUCUGACAUCACAACAAGAGGUCUGACGUUACAACAAAAGGUCUGACAUCACAACAAGAGGUCUGACAUCACAACAAGAUGUCUGACAUCACAACAAGAGGUCUGACAUUACAACAAAAGGUCUGACAUCACAACAAGACGUCUGACAUCACAGCAAGAUGUCUGACAUCACAACAAGAUGUCUGACAUCACAACAAGAUGUCUGACAUCACAACAAGAGGUCUGACAUCACAACAGGAAAUGGAGCAGCAGAGUCUUAAAUCCUCCGUCUGACCAGAAUGAAACACAAAAUGACAAAAACUAGACAAAGCAACAAAACGAGACAUAAGCAGCAGAACUUUGAGAAUUUAUUUCAGCUCCACAGGAACACAGCAUCUCAGCAGACCUUCUACCCACCCUGAUCUGCAGAUAAACCAGGAGGAUUAUAAACCUCAAAGGAACUGAACUUUAAUAAACCAACAUCUGCUCUCUGGUUGUUUAAAGCGCCAGGAAUUAGUCUAACCCCAAACAUCCAUCAUUCAUCUGUGUAUGUGUGUGUGUGUGUGUGUGUGUGUGUGUGUGUGUGUGUGUGUGUGUGUGUGUGUGUGUGUGUGUGUGUGUGUUCUUGUACUUGCUACAUGGUGAGGACCAUCUUCUGCAUUUAAC